UCUCGUUCUUUUAGAGAAGAUAAAAGUGUUAACACAAUUCCUCUAGAGGAGAACCUGGAGGAGGAUCAUUAUAAUAAAACGGAUCAGCAAGGGCUGUUGGCUCCCCUCCAGGGGGUAUGUGCACGCCUGUCAUCUUUAUAUUAUCCCAACUGUGCACCUUUGGUAGACCGGAUGGAUACCGCUUGAUUCAUCGAGGGAGUUGGGGAUCGCUGCGCUUUUGUCAAGUUGCCUUUCCCUUUUAUUUUUUCAGGUUUAUCUCACUAUCCCAAACUUAUGAAUGGGUUUUUGAAUUUUGACAUGGGUGAAGUAGUCCCUAUAAAGUGAAAUAUACAACUUUCAGCAGAGGAUAUCUAGUCUUUGGCUUUGAUGAAGCACCCAGCGAACUGCGGCAAGUAAAGGGACUCACAGAAUUCAGUGUAUCAUAGAUUUUUUGAACCCAUUUUUCGCUCCUCGGUAUUGGGAGGAGCAAAGGGUUUGAGUGUCAUCUUAAUCCUCAAAACCACAUCUGAUUCAAAAGGUAGGCUUUGGAAAAGGGGGUAUAAGGGUCAGGUGUCAUCAUUAACAAAGGAAGUAUGCUCCCCUGAAAAGCGAUAGAGGAAUCUGAGCAGAGAAUUUCGACAGGUGUGAUAACUCAUCCAAGCAUGGUUAAUCCUUCACCAACAGAUUCCUCUGCUUAUAACCAAAAACCCAUAUAAACGUGACGUCAUCUC
rnacentral:rRNA from 1 species